rnacentral:rRNA from 1 species
UACCAGCACCCCGAGUGGUCGGGACGUUUAUUGGGCCUAAAGCAUCCGUAGCCGGUUCUACAAGUCUUCCGUUAAAUCCAACUGCUUAACAGGUGGGCUGCGGAAGAUACUAUAGAGCUAGGAGGCGGGAGAGGCAAGCGGUACUCGAUGGGUAGGGGUAAAAUCCGUUGAUCCAUUGAAGACCACCAGUGGCGAAGGCGGCUCACUGGCCCGGUACUGACGCUGAGGUGCGAAAGCGUGGGGAGCAAACAGG